UUUACUGACGCUAAAGCUCGAAGGUGCGGGUAUCGAACAGGAUUAGAUACCCUGGUAGUCCGCACGGUAAACGAUGGAUGCCCGCUGUUUGCGAUAUAUUGUAAGCGGCCAAGAGAAAUCGUUAAGCAUCCCACCUGGGGAGUACGCCGGCAACGGUGAAACUCAAAGGAAUUGACGGGGGCCCGCACAAGCGGAGGAACAUGUGGUUUAAUUCGAUGAUACGCGAGGAACCUUACCCGGGCUUGAACUGCAGCGGAAGGAAACAGAGAUGUUGACGUCCUUCGGGACCGCUGUGGAGGUGCUGCAUGGUUGUCGUCAGCUCGUGCCGUGAGGUGUCGGCUUAAGUGCCAUAACGAGCGCAACCCUUUUCAUCAGUUGCCAUCAGGUGAUGCUGGGCACUCUGUUGAUACUGCCACCGUAAGGUGUGAGGAAGGUGGGGAUGACGUCAAAUCAGCACGGCCUGAACGGCCGGGGCUACACACGUGUUACAAUGGGGCAUACAGAAGGCAGGAUCAUGGCAACAUGGUUCAAAUCUUUAAAGUGCUCCUCAGUUCGGAUUGGGGUCUGCAACCCGACCCCAUGAAGCUGGAUUCGCUGGUAA
rnacentral:rRNA from 1 species